AAGCAAGUCUUCUGGCUACAUGGCCUCCCUCAGCUCCCCAGCACAAUGCCAACACCAGCAGUCCACAGUUGGGGAUGCCACCAGCAGACAUCCCUGGUCUUUCCUCGUUCUCUCCUUUCUUCCUGCAGGAACAAGCAAGGAAAUAACACAGAAUUCCAUCUGUAAUGUUUUCCUCUGGGUUCGAGUGGCUGGCACCUGCUUCCUGAUCCUCACUACCAUAACCAUCACCAUCAUGCACUGCCAAAGACCAAGCUCACCGUAAGCAAGCAGCGCUGCAUCGCUGCUCAGCAGAAGGCACACAGGCGUCGUCCUCAAGCACCGCACGGAUCCCAUCAGCAACACGCACAGCUGCCCUGACAGAGCGUGGGCAUCUGGCUGAUCCUUCACUGCCUACCCAUCAAUCUCACACAAAACUCAGCUCUCAGAC